UACGUAGGGUGCGAGCGUUAAUCGGAAUUACUGGGCGUAAAGCGUGCGCAGGCGGUUUGUUAAGCCAGGUGUGAAAGCCCCGGGCUCAACCUGGGAACUGCGUUUGGUACUGGCAAGCUAGAGUACGGCAGAGGGGGGUGGAAUUCCACGUGUAGCAGUGAAAUGCGUAGAGAUGGGGAGGAAUACCGAUGGCGAAGGCAGCGCCCUGGGAUGAGACUGACGCUCAUGCACGAAAGCGUGGGGAGCAAACAGG
rnacentral:rRNA from 1 species